rnacentral:rRNA from 1 species
UACGUAGGGUGCGAGCGUUGUCCGGAAUUAUUGGGCGUAAAGAGCUCGUAGGCGGUGUGUCACGUCGAUCGUGAAAACUUACAGCUUAACUGUGAGCGUGCGGUCGAUACGGGCAUCACUGGAGUUCGGCAGGGGAGACUGGAAUUCCUGGUGUAGCGGUGAAAUGCGCAGAUAUCAGGAGGAACACCGGUGGCGAAGGCGGGUCUCUGGGCCAUAACUGACGCUGAGGAGCGAAAGCGUGGGGAGCGAACAGG